rnacentral:tRNA from 1 species
GGGGUUGUGGCUCAGUGGUAGAGCACUUGCCUGGCAUGCCUGAGGCAAUGAAUUCAAUCCCU